rnacentral:rRNA from 1 species
UACAGAGGUCUCAGGCGUUGUUCGGAUUCAUUGGGCGUAAAGGGCGCGUAGGCUGCGGGGCAAGUCGGGUGUGAAAUCUCAGAGCUCAACUCUGAAACUGCACUCGAUACUGCUUUGCUCGAGGACUGGAGAGGAGAUUGGAAUUCACGGUGUAGCAGUGAAAUGCGUAGAUAUCGUGAGGAAGACCAGUGGCGAAGGCGGAUCUCUGGACAGUUCCUGACGCUGAGGCGCGAAGGCCAGGGGAGCAAACGGG